rnacentral:rRNA from 1 species
GACGAACGCUGGCGGCGUGCUUAACACAUGCAAGUCGAACGGAAAGGCCCUGCUUUUGUGGGGUGCUCGAGUGGCGCACGGGAGAGUAACACGUGAGUAACCUGCCCUGUACUUUGGGAUAACUUCAGGGCCCUGGGGCUAAUACCGGCUAGGAGCUCCUGCUGGAUGGGGGGGGUUGGAAAGUUUCGGCGGUUGGGGAUGGACUCGCGGCUUAUCAGCUUGUUGGUGGGGUAGUGGCUUACCAGGGCUUUGAAGGGUAGCCGGCCUGAGCGGGUGACCGGCCACAUGAGGACUGAGAUACGGCCCAGACUCCUACGGGAGGCAGCAGUGGGGAAUAUGGCACAAUGGGCGGAAGCCUGAUGCAGCAACGCCGCGGGCGUGAUGACGGCCUUCGGGUUGUAAACCGCUUUCGCCUGUGACGAAGCGUGAGUGACGGUAAUGGGUAAAGAAGCACCGGCUAACUACGUG